rnacentral:rRNA from 1 species
GACGAACGCUGGCGGCGUGCUUAACACAUGCAAGUCGAACGCUGAAGCCCAGCUUGCUGGGUGGAUGAGUGGCGAACGGGUGAGUAACACGUGAGUAACCUGCCCCCUUCUUUGGGAUAACGCCCGGAAACGGGUGCUAAUACUGGAUAUUCACUGAUCUUCGCAUGGGGGUUGGUGGAAAGGUUUUUUCUGGUGGGGGAUGGGCUCGCGGCCUAUCAGCUUGUUGGUGGGGUGAUGGCCUACCAAGGCUUUGACGGGUAGCCGGCCUGAGAGGGUGACCGGUCACAUUGGGACUGAGAUACGGCCCAGACUCCUACGGGAGGCAGCAGUGGGGAAUAUUGCACAAUGGGCGAAAGCCUGAUGCAGCGACGCCGCGUGAGGGAUGACGGCCUUCGGGUUGUAAACCUCUUUCGCUCAUGGUCAAGCCGCAGCUUUGGGUUGUGGUGAGGGUAGUGGGUAAAGAAGCGCCGGCUAACUACGUGCCAGCAGCCGCGGUAAUACGUAGGGCGCGAGCGUUGUCCGGAAUUAUUGGGCGUAAAGGGCUUGUAGCGGUUGGUCGCGUCUGCCGUGAAAUCCUCUGGCUUAACUGGGGGCGUGCGGUGGGUACGGGCUGACUUGAGUGCGGUAGGGGGAGACUUGGAACUCCUGGUGUAGCGGUGGAAUGCGCCAAUAU